rnacentral:rRNA from 1 species
UAACGCGUGGGAAUCUGCCCUCAGGUUCGGAAUAACAGUUAGAAAUGACUGCUAAUACCGGAUGAUGACUUCGGUCCAAAGAUUUAUCGGCAAGGGAUGAGCCCGCGUAGGAUUAGGUAGUUGGUGGGGUAAAGGCCUACCAAGCCGACGAUCCUUAGCUGGUCUGAGAGGAUGAUCAGCCACACUGGGACUGAGACACGGCCCAGACUCCUACGGGAGGCAGCAGUGGGGAAUAUUGGACAAUGGGCGAAAGCCUGAUCCAGCAAUGCCGCGUGAGUGAUGAAGGCCUUAGGGUUGU